CCUGAUAUUGCUUUCCCCUUCUUCCCUUUAUGAAUAAACUGUCCGGACUUUUAGCAGGGCAUGUGGAUGUCCAACUAGAGACUUCAUUUCCCAACCUCCCUUGCAGCUGGGUGUGGACAUCGGCCACGAGCUGCAGGCAACUUCCUGCUUCCCUAAAACCAACCGCUUGUUCUGUCCUUCGUCUUUUGUUCUCACUGGGAUUAGCAGCAGCUUUGGAAGCUGGUGGGCAAGGUGGCAGGGCUGGCAAGUGGAGGACAGAGUCCUGCUCUGCCAGCCCUAGACUGAUCACCCCUGGAUUUUACAUGAGAGGGAAAUAAAAAAUACUGUAUUUCAGUCAUUCGUUUGGGGGUCUCUCUGUUACAUUAGCUGACCAUGUGCCCUAAUAAACUCCUUUGUUUCUUAUGUAAAAGGUAACCUGCAUUCAGUGUAGAAACCCCGUAACGUAACGAUAAGUAGAAAGAUGGUACAAGUCCCCUUGGCCCUUCGUUUUUCUGGCUGAUUAUUCUCCGUCGCCCGUGCUCAGCUGCCUUGUCUCCCCUGCCUACGAUCUUGGGCAAAGCCCAGAACUAAGUUCCCCGCCCUCUCAUCUCUCUGUGCUUUGUCACAGAGAGUGACUCAUGCAGUGAUUGAUUUAGUCACUACAUUGUCAUUCAUUCAAAAAUGACUAGUGAGGACCUACGUUCUGCUAAGUGCUGGGGACACAAAAAGUAAUCAGACAAGGAGCUCCCAGCCCGGAGAGGCAGAGGCGAUGAGGGAUGGCUGCAAGGUAUCGGCGUGAAGGACGAGGACAGAAAUCAGUCUGAGGAACAGGAACUGAAAUGGGCUUGACAUGGCGACUGAAGAGGAAGAAAGAGGAGGAAGAAUUAAAGAUAAUUCCUGGGGUUUCCAGCUCGGGCGGCUGGGAUGAGUCCGUUUUCCCAGACGGAAACAUUGCGUCGCGUUGCUCUGCCCUCGAAGGCCACUGUCACCGCGUCAAGGGCCUUUUAUUCACCUCCUCUCUCUGCUGUCUCCCAGCAAAUGUUUACGUUCUAGAAAGAUAACUCGGACCUGUCGGUCAGCGAGCAGGGGGUCAUCCGUGAACGUGCAGUGUUCGGUCCCCGAAGACGUAUCUGCUGGUAGAGCCGCUUCAGGCGCAAUGACUGCGUUCAGCUUUCUCGUCCACUGCUAGUUCUUAUGCCCGUUAUGUCUCUUCCACUUUAAACACCUGUCCCAUCUCAGACUCGGCCUUGCAGUGGUGACGGGUGUUCGGGAUGUCUUGUACCUACGGAAGCUUCUGGCAUAAGCACACAUCAUUCUUCGUUAUGGCCACGGGUACACCCAACACGUGAUCACUUUGAAAUGCCGUGUUUCAUAAAGCUGAGUCAAAGGCAAUUUGCACUCUAGAAUGUUCAUUCUGGGCUGUAAACCUUUGAACACUGGCUACUCAGCAGUUCCGACAUCUGGAAUAAAACAGCUGCGUCCUGCAGUCACAGACCCCUGUCCCGGACUUUCCUCUCACCCGAAAGAAGGGCGGUCUUCACUGCCGUUUGCCGCGUCUCUAUCGAUCGCCGUUUGCUGCACUGCCACCCGAUUGGUGAAGUCCGAGCAAGUUCCUGCCACUCUGUGUAUGAAAAAGCUGAUUUCGCUUCCUAAGCUUCUCCCCCAUAACGUCCCUUCUACUUCAAUAGAUUCUCACUGAGACACACUAAAAUGAGACCCAUAGUAUCAAUUUAUGAUUUUAGCAAUCUUAAUAAACAAGCGAGUCUCGCCGUGUUCUUUUUCCUUUAAGAAUAAGACAGGCCUUGCAUCUUUCUAUGC